GACGACGCUGGCGGCGUGCUUAACACAUGCAAGUCGAACGAGUGGCGAACGGGUGAGUAAUGUCUGGGAAACUGCCUGAUGGAGGGGGAUAACUACUGGAAACGGUAGCUAAUACCGCAUACCAUCAGAUGUGCCCAGAUGGGAUUAGCUAGUAGGUGGGGUAAUGGCUCACCUAGGCGACGAUCCCUAGCUGGUCUGAGAGGAUGACCAGCCACACUGGAACUGAGACACGGUCCAGACUCCUACGGGAGGCAGCAGUGGGGAAUAUUGCACAAUGGGCGCAAGCCUGAUGCAGCCAUGCCGCGUGUGUGAAGAAGGCCUUCGGGUUGUAAAGCACUUUCAGCGAGGAGGCGUUACUCGCAGAAGAAGCACCGGCUAACUCCGUGCCAGCAGCCGCAGUAAUAC
rnacentral:rRNA from 1 species